rnacentral:tRNA from 1 species
GCGAGGGUGGCGGAAUUGGCAUACGCGCUAGGUUGAGGGCCUAGUGAGAGUUAAAUCUCGUGGGGGUUCAAAUCCCCCUCCUCGCACCA